GAUGAACGCUAGCUACAGGCUUAACACAUGCAAGUCGAGGGGCAGCAUUUCAGUUUGCUUGCAAACUGGAGAUGGCGACCGGCGCACGGGUGAGUAACACGUAUCCAACCUGCCGAUAACUCGGGGAUAGCCUUUCGAAAGAAAGAUUAAUACCCGAUGGUAUAAUCAGACCGCAUGGUCUUGUUAUUAAAGAAUUUCGGUUAUCGAUGGGGAUGCGUUCCAUUAGGCAGUUGGUGAGGUAACGGCUCACCAAACCUUCGAUGGAUAGGGGUUCUGAGAGGAAGGUCCCCCACAUUGGAACUGAGACACGGUCCAAACUCCUACGGGAGGCAGCAGUGAGGAAUAUUGGUCAAUGGGCGCAGGCCUGAACCAGCCAAGUAGCGUGAAGGAUGACUGCCCUAUGGGUUGUAAACUUCUUUUAUAUGGGAAUAAAGUUUUCCACGUGUGGAAUUUUGUAUGUACCAUAUGAAUAAGGAUCGGCUAACUCCGUGCCAGCAGCCGCGGUAAUACGGAGGAUCCGAGCGUUAUCCGGAUUUAUUGGGUUUAAAGGGAGCGCAGGUGGACAGUUAAGUCAGUUGUGAAAGUUUGCGGCUCAACCGUAAAAUUGCAGUUGAUACUGGCUGUCUUGAGUACAGUAGAGGUGGGCGGAAUUCGUGGUGUAGCGGUGAAAUGCUUAGAUAUCACGAAGAACUCCGAUUGCGAAGGCAGCUCACUGGACUGCAACUGACACUGAUGCUCAAAAGUGUGGGUAUCAAACAGGAUUAGAUACCCUGGUAGUCCACACAGUAAACGAUGAAUACUCGCUGUUUGCGAUAUACAGUAAGCGGCCAAGCGAAAGCAUUAAGUAUUCCACCUGGGGAGUACGCCGGCAACGGUGAAACUCAAAGGAAUUGACGGGGGCCCGCACAAGCGGAGGAACAUGUGGUUUAAUUCGAUGAUACGCGAGGAACCUUACCCGGGCUUAAAUUGCAUUUGAAUAUAUUGGAAACAGUAUAGCCGUAAGGCAAAUGUGAAGGUGCUGCAUGGUUGUCGUCAGCUCGUGCCGUGAGGUGUCGGCUUAAGUGCCAUAACGAGCGCAACCCUUAUCUUUAGUUACUAACAGGUCAUGCUGAGGACUCUAGAGAGACUGCCGUCGUAAGAUGUGAGGAAGGUGGGGAUGACGUCAAAUCAGCACGGCCCUUACGUCCGGGGCUACACACGUGUUACAAUGGGGGGUACAGAAGGCAGCUACCUGGUGACAGGAUGCUAAUCCCAAAAGCCUCUCUCAGUUCGGAUCGAAGUCUGCAACCCGACUUCGUGAAGCUGGAUUCGCUAGUAAUCGCGCAUCAGCCAUGGCGCGGUGAAUACGUUCCCGGGCCU
rnacentral:rRNA from 1 species